CUGCCGGGCACACACACAGUUAAUCCUCGGCGGCUGCUGUUUGGAUAAUAUGCGCUGGGAGCGUUGGAGGCUCCGCGGCCGCUCACAUCUGGCUGGGGUUUGCUCUUUACGAGUCUGCCCCGCUUUCUUCAUCUCUUCCUUUACUUUCGAGAAACCGUGCUUCCGCUUCUGGCCAGAGAGACCUUGGAACGGAGGAGGUCAAGGUGCCGGGAAGGCAGGGACGGCUGUUGCCUGCACCCGCCCCCCUUUCUGCACCUUCUUCCCCGAAGACUUUUUCCUUCCUCCUGGCUCUCUACUCUGACAAGUCUGUUCUUCCCCCGACCUGGCUGGGAGGAGGCCCUGCCGCUGGGAGAUGCUCUAAGCCCGAGAGGCCGCAGCAGGACGCCGGCUGGAGCAGGGACCGGCGGGAAGAUGGGCUCCCGGGGACUGAGACUGGUGCUGGCGUGCUGCCUGCUGCUGGCCUUCGCCUGUGGCCCGGCGCUGGGCCGUGUGCCACGUGACCUGCAGGAGCAGGAGGGGACCGAGGAGCCGCUUCUGGACCACGCUGAGAGGUGAGAGACGGGGAGGGGCAGAGCAGGAGCUCGGGCUCGCUGGGUUGAGCCUGGGGUCCAGGGCACCCCAGGGGGCUCUUUUGGGGCUGGAUGCAAAAGAGCCACAGCCAAGGCUGAGGAAGGGUCCUUGCAGACACUGGUCCCGGAGGACAGACCAGCCAUUUCUCCUUUCAGUGACCCCCAGGCUUAUCUGAAACUGAGGACAGUGACCCACCUUGUUCUAACCCCAAAGGGAUUGGGUUUCUGUAAGGUUUCGCAGCCACAUCCUUAGGUAAAGACUUUCCCCAAACCCCAACCCUGGCCCUCCAUUUGUCCUUCUGUUCUAGCUUUGUCCUUCGAGAGUAUCUUCCAGGGCUCUGAGUGCUACCAGCAGGUAGGAGGCAGGGAUGCUGCCGUGAGCUGGUCUGGGGACCCUGACCAUCUGAUCAGGCUGCCGAUGGGAGAGGAUUGCUGGUGGUGGCUCUUCUCAGAAACUCAUGAGUUUCUCCUGAAUGGCGUCUUCAUGGAUAUGACCUUCGAUAAUAUAGAGACUUCAGGCUAUUUGGAAUAUUUUGUAGGGAUGCACAAAAUGCUUAGGAUUGCUCGUGAAACUGUCAUUCAUCAAAUGUGAGGUCCUAGACACCUGGGAGAUAAACUGAUGCUUUGAAUUUCUUCAUUAUUUUGAGUUUUGGGCUGACUUGAUACCCAAGGCUUCAGGCUAUCUUCAGAGUGCG
rnacentral:lncRNA from 1 species